AAGAGGGUGGCUGAUUAAAGCAUCACACUGUAAAUGUGAAAAUGAGAUUUCUCUCCCCUUUUA
rnacentral:tRNA from 1 species